GACGAACGCUGGCGGCGUGCUUAACACAUGCAAGUCGAACGAAGUGGCGCACGGGUGAGUAACGCGUAAUCAACCUGCCCUUCAGAGGGGGACAACAGUUGGAAACGACUGCUAAUACCGCAUACUGAAGGAGGGGAUUGCGGUUGAUUAGCUAGUUGGAGGGGGAACGGCCCACCAAGGCGAUGAGCAGUAGCCGGUCUGGGAGGGUGAACGGGCACAUUGGGACUGGGACACGGCCCAGACCCCUACGGGAGGCAGCAGUAGGGAAUCUGACGCAAUGGACGAAAGUCUGACGGUGCAACGCCGCGUGAGUGAUGACGGCCUUCGGGUUGUAAAGCUCUGUUAAUCGGGACGCGGUACCGGAAUAGAAAGCCACGGCUAACUACGUGCCAGCAGCCGCGGUAAUAC
rnacentral:rRNA from 1 species